ACAAGUUGAAUUGAACUUGUCACCACAAGCCCAAUAAGCUUCCUAAAUGUUGAUUCAUGACAUGGUUCUCGACCUUACAAUACUUUUAUCUUUGGAGUUCUUAUUUUUUGCAGCUAACAUAAGAGACAAGAACUUGUUUGCUCUGCACUUGCUCUUGAACAAAGUGAUAAUCAAGAGCAAAAUGCUUCAUUUCGAGAGUGAAAACCCCGGAUGUGCAAACUGGAAAGUUGCACCAAUGUUGAGCUCACUCUCAUAAGAGAAAGAAUGAAGAAUAAAGAGAAGAAGAGGAAAGCGUCAAGAAAUUUAGGGUUUUGCAUCAGAUUAGCUCUCAUGCCAUAUAAAGUGAUUGUGAAGUGUGAACUGAUACUUUAUUAAUCACAUAAAGGUUCAUAUAUCUC